rnacentral:rRNA from 1 species
CCACGGCUAACUACGUGCCAGCAGCCGCGGUAAUACGUAGGUGGCAAGCGUUAUCCGGAAUUAUUGGGCGUAAAGAGCGCGCAGGUGGUUAAUUAAGUCUGAUGUGAAAGCCCCCGGCUCAACCGGGGAGGGUCAUUGGAAACUGGGAGACUUGAGUGCAGAAGAGGAGAGUGGAAUUCCAUGUGUAGCGGUGAAAUGCGUAGAUAUAUGGAGGAACACCAGUGGCGAAGGCGGCCUGCUGGACUGUAACUGACGUUGAGGCUCGAAAGCGUGGGGAGCA